rnacentral:rRNA from 1 species
UACGAAGGGGGCUAGCGUUGUUCGGAUUUACUGGGCGUAAAGCGCACGUAGGCGGAUCGUUAAGUCAGGGGUGAAAUCCUGGGGCUCAACCCCAGAACUGCCUUUGAUACUGGCGAUCUCGAGUCCGGAAGAGGUGAGUGGAACUCCUAGUGUAGAGGUGGAAUUCGUAGAUAUUAGGAAGAACACCAGUGGCGAAGGCGGCUCACUGGUCCGGUACUGACGCUGAGGUGCGAAAGCGUGGGGGGCAAACAGG